rnacentral:tRNA from 1 species
GCCUCGGUAGCGCAGUAGGCAGCGCGUCAGUCUCAUUAUCUAAAGGUCGUGAGUUCGAAACUCACCCGGGGCA